UACGUAGGGUGCGAGCGUUAAUCGGAAUUACUGGGCGUAAAGCGUGCGCAGGCGGUCUGUUAAGACCGAUGUGAAAUCCCCGGGCUUAACCUGGGAACUGCAUUGGUGACUGGCAGGCUUUGAGUGUGGCAGAGGGGGGUGGAAUUCCACGUGAGCAGUGAAAUGCGUAGAGAUGCGGAGGAACACCGAUGGCGAAGGCAGCCCCCCUGGGCUAACACUGACGCUCAGGCACGAAAGCGUGGGGAGCAAACAGG
rnacentral:rRNA from 1 species